CAAUGUAAAAGUAUAUAUAAAGUAUAUAUAUUAUACUAUCCGUCAUUUCGAAAACCUCAAACUUGACAUGCGCCGAUAUCACGGUGAUCAUAUUAUCAUCAUCAUUCGGCGUUGCCUAGCAAACUGCAGACGUGAAACGACCAAUGGCGUCUGCGGGUAGCAUCCCUUAUUGACUUUUAUGUUUUUUUUUUUAAUUUUAGUAUGCCGUCUGAAGUUUGAACUGGAUCAAUAAUCCGUGUUCUGGUAGGUACAUUUCAUGUUGCUCAGUAGUGCGUCUCCAAUGUUGCCUGUUGAACUCGGUCGAUACGCAAAAAUGGUCGCCGAUUGUGAUAAUGGUGAAAUCUGACUGAAAACGGUUAUUUGACUUUCGCUUGUAGAGCUUUUUUUGUUUUUCCAACCGCAUUGUCGUACGCAUCGUUUAAAAUCGUCAUCGAAGUACACGUAAAAAAUAACCAACUACGUGUGACAGUAUUAUUGUUUGUUUUCAUUCGCGUUUCGCUCGUCCAAGCUAAUAUUAGACAUCACGUUUCGUUCAACAAUCGAUUGCUUUGCAUAAUCAGAUAAUUACUGAAGAGACAUAUUUUAAAAUGGAACAAUACAUCAAUUACCCUCCGGGAUGUCGUCCAGUGACCAGUGAUCUUGGAUCCGAUGAACUUAUUCGACGUCUUAAAAUAUUAGCUCAUACCUUUCAAAACAUGGCUCAAAAUGAAGCCAUGUGUCAGCAGUAUGUACCAUUAACUAUAUAUUUAGUGCAAGAUUUUUUUCUAAAACAUCCCAGUAAAGAUGUUCAGCUCUUAACGGCCUGCUGUAUUGCGGAUGUUCUUAGAAUUUUUGCGCCUGAAGCUCCUUACACAAACCCAGAACAAGUGAAGGGCAUAUUUAUGUUCCUGAUUAAACAACUCGGUGGUUUGAAAGAUCCCAAAAAUCCAGCAUUCAAACGCUAUUUUUAUUUAUUGGAAAAUUUAGCAUAUGUUAAAUCUUUCAAUAUGUGCUUUGAUUUAGAGGAUUGUCAAGAAAUAUUUUGUAAACUAUUCUCUCUUUUAUUCCAAAUCAUUAACGAUGAACAUUCAGCCAAAGUAAAAGUAUUUAUGUUAGAUAUAUUGUGUCCUCUUAUAAUGGAAUCCGACGUCAUUUCCAAUGAACUUCUUGAUAUUAUUUUAAUCAAUAUCGUGGAGCCUAACAAAUCGCAUAGAAAAAAUACUUAUUCAUUGGUCAAAGAUCUUAUUAUUAAAUGUUCAGACUCUCUAGAACCUUACAUUCAAGCGUUCUUUAACCAAAGUCUUAUGCUAGGCCAGAAUGAAAAAAAUCUUGCGAUAAAUUCAAAAACCUAUGAUCUCAUAUAUGAAUUGAACAAAAUAAGUAAAUCUAUAUUGUUAGCAGUUUUACCACUGCUCGAAUGCAAGUUAAAGUCCACAGUAGAGCAAGAACGAUCAGAUACUAUUGCUUUGUUAGCAUCAAUGUUUUCUGAGAAAGAAUCUAAUAUUGCUCGCCGUUAUAAUAUUUUAUGGCAUGCCUUUCUUAGUCGAUUUAAUGAUUUAUCCAUAAACAUUAGAAUUAAGUGUGUUCAAUGUGCCAUGCAAAUAUUAGUGAACCAGUCUUAUUGUCGCCCAGAUUUGAUAGAAGCAUUGCGUCUACGAAGUUUUGAUCAUGAUAUGAACGUACGGUAUGAAACUAUAUUGGCUAUUGUAUCAACAGCUAAAACUGAUUUUGAAUCCAUUGCCGAAAAUGAAGAACUUUUUUUAAUGGUUAAAGAUAGAAUGUGUGAUAAAAAGUUUAAAAUUAGAAGAGAAGCAGUCCUCGGCCUGGCGUAUAUCUACAAAACUUACCUUAAUGGACCAGAAAUUCCAAAUGCAACUAAGAAAGCUUUUUCUUGGAUCAAAGACAAAAUAUUGCAUGGUUACUACAGGAAUUGCUUGGAAGACAAGUUGUUGGUAGAACAAAUUGUCAAUUCCUCAUUGGUUCCUUAUCAACUGCCACCUGACGUCAAAAUGAAAAGGCUCUAUCAUUUGUAUGGGACUGUCGAUGAAUACGCAAAAAAGGCUUUUAUAGAAAUACAAAAAAAUCAAAUGCUGAUUCGAUCUUAUUUAAAAGAAUUUGUUAACAUUCACAAAAAGGCAGAUCAUGACAAUAAAGAACUGGAAAUUCAAACGAGUAUUAAAUUAUUAACCCGAUAUUUACCCGAACCAGUCAAGGCAAAUGAAUUCAUUAACAAAUUUUCUCAACAGUUACGUAGUGAUGCUAAUUUAUUGAAUUACAUGGACAUUAUUGUCAAACAAACUUCAAGCACGGCUGAAGUAGCAAAUGCUUUCAAUUUUUUGUUGAAAAAACUUGGGAAACCCAAUACGACUAAUGUUUAUUACAACACAUUAAAAGCCCUUUUAGAACGAGCAUUGUCUGUCAUGAUUGAUUCUCAAUCGUUAAAGGUACUAUUUAUUCACGUAGAAAAUUGUUUGAAUGCAGGACACAUGGUAGACGAACUUGGUUUGCAUCCUGGAACCGCAGGAUACAAAGGCCUAGAACUACUCAAUGUACUGUCAAACACGUUUGCUUGUCAUUUUUAUCAUCCAGAUAUUUUAGACAAACUAAUACAUUUGUUACAUUAUGAUGAUGUAUGUAUUACUACUCAAGUACUUACUGUUCUCACUACAAUUGGAAAAUACAGUGCACUUGGUGAUAGCUGUCCAGAAUUAACUGAAAAACUUACACCAAUGUGUGAAGUCUUUUCAAUUAAAGGAACACCCAAACAAGCUAAAUGCGCAAUUCGAUGUUUGUUUGUCAAUGUUUAUAAAUCAAAGACUAACGUUUUUGAUAAUAUUGUGGAGAAAACUCAACUCAAUUUGACGCCCGAAUCAGAAUAUUACGAAACUGCAAUAGUAGCUUUUGGUCAUCUUGCUUUAAACGUGGUUGACAAAUACAGUGCUCUGUUCAGUAAUAUAAUAUCAAAAAAGAUUGUCAGGGAAUUAUUGGCUACAGAAAUUACCCAUAUUGUCACGUGUGAUGAUGAUGAUGAUUGGUGUCAAGAAAAUAGGCUACCCAAAGAAACUAAAUGUAGAGUUGAAGGUAUUAAAGCUUUAGCUAGAUGGGUCGUUGGUUUGAAAAAUGACAAACAGUGUGCUCGAAAGACUUUUAGAAUAUUCUCUGUUCUUCUUUCUAAAAAUGGUGAUUUGAUGGAAUCUGGAAUGUUAACUAAACCUGAAUUAGCUUGGUUACGAUUACAAGCGGGAUGUGCAAUGUUGAAAAUUUGUGAGCAAAAAGAAAUUGGUGAUCAAUACACAGCCGAGCAAUUCUUUUUACUCUCUCGACUAAUGACGGAUGAGGUCUUAAAAGUCCGAGAAAUUUUCGCUGAAAAACUUCACAAGGGUCUAGGACGUGGUUCACCAUUUAAAUGUCUACCAUUAGAUUUUAUGGGAAUGUAUGUUUUUGGUGGUCUUGAAACCGAUAAAAAUUUAAAAACUAAAAUUUAUGGAUACCUUUUAAAAGACACAAGUAGAAGACAAGAGUACAUAAAAAUCUUAACUCAAAAAACAACCACAUGCUCUGUAGAUAGAGCAAUGGAGCAACUACCUCAUAUAUUACCAGAUUAUAUGGUGUUGUUUGCAAUAUCCAUUUUGACUCAUUCGCCAGUGUACACAGAUUGUAAAGAUAUUAAAAUCUUGACAUUGAUGCAACAGUGUCUGUGGUUUAUACUUGAACCACUAAUUACUAAAAAUGACUCUUAUAACUAUGGGUUUUACAAAGCAAUGUUGGAAAAGUUGAAAUGUUACGUAGACGCAGUAGAUCCAACAAAUGAAGCUAUUAACACGAAAAUGUGGACACUUUGCGAUUUGACAAUGAAUGUUGUGGUGACACACACUACCACUUUUGAAUCCGCUCCAUUAUCUGAAAUAAAAAUAUCGUCAAUGUUCUAUAAACGCCAUGAAGACUCAUUGUUUACAAACAUCAAAGUUUAUCUACCUGAACAAUUUCAAAUACAACAAGUAAAUAAUGACGGCAGGAAAAUUAAACUGUCAGCGUUGAGGACUCCCAAAACGCGAGUUCAAAAGCAUGAUCGUCAAGCUGAACAAUCACAAAAUUCCACAGUUGUGAAUAAAAAUAAUAACACCUUCAUAGAAGCCAGUGACGACGAAGAAAAAAUUACUCCACAGUCAAAACGCAGACGUACAUGUAAACCAUGCACAACAUGCAACAACAAUAUUGAAUGAUUUGAACCCUUUGAGUUUUGUAGUAUCCUAUUAUUUAUAUAUUUAUCAUUUUUAAAAAGAGAAUGUUGUUUUUAUUCGAAUCAAUCAUAGUUAAGGUGUUAACGGUUUAAAAAUUAACUAAUUUAUAUUAUGUUAUAAUAAAAAAAAAAAAGUGUUGAAAUAUUUAUUAAUUUUGUU